UCCUGGCUCAGAGUGAACGCUGGCGGCAGGCCUAAUACAUGCAAGUCGAACGGCAGCACAGCAGAGCUUGCUCUGUGGGUGGCGAGUGGCGGACGGGUGAGGAAUACGUGGGAAUCUGCCCAGUCGUGGGGAUAACGUAGGGAAACUUACGCUAAUACCGCAUGCGCCCUUCGGGGGAAAGCCGGGGACCUUCGGGCCUGGCGCGAUUGGAUGAGCCCACGUCGGAUUAGCUAGUUGGCGGGGUAAAGCCCACCAAGGCGACGAUCCGUAGCUGGUCUGAGAGGAUGAUCAGCCACACUGGAACUGAGACACGGUCCAGACUCCUACGGGAGGCAGCAGUAGGAAAUAUUGGACAAUGGGCGCAAGCCUGAUCCAGCCAUGCCGCGUGAGUGAAGAAGGCCCUCGGGUUGUAAAGCUCUUUUGUCCGGAAAGAAAAGCGCCGGGUUAAUACCCUGGUGUCCUGACGGUACCGGAAGAAUAAGCACCGGCUAACUUCGUG
rnacentral:rRNA from 1 species